GCUUUUCCGCCCCGGCUCUUCUUUUGUUGUCAAGUCCUUUUGAUAAAUGGUGGGGCUGGGAGCUCUGGGAGUCGGUAGCCAGUCUGUGCCCGCGCGGGGGGCGGGGGCCGAGCCUGGAGACCCGGUUUCGACCGGCGCGCACCCGGGGCUGAGCUGGGUACGCGCGGGGUCGGGGCUAGAACCUGCCCUCGGCGUGCCCGCCCUCUCCUCUUGGCCCAUCUCACUCCGCUUCCCCACCUCACUCCCCUCCCCCAAUUCUUUCUCUGUCUCCCACUCCGCAAGAAUUCCGAGAACUUUCUGGGAAUCGACGGGAUUUCUCUGGCUGUCGUUUGCGCUGCAUUUAUCCGAAUAAAUCCAGCUCGCAGGCAUCCUGCAGGAAACGGCUCCCGGCUCGCGUGUACGCCGACACCUCGGCCCAACGCGGGACUCGAGGUGGCUCCUAGUGCCUGGGCGGCUGCUAGUCCGGCCUCCGAGGGAGGCUGGACAAGCGGCGCCCCCAGGUCGAGCGGCCUCUCACUGCCUGGCAGCCCCCAGCUCUGCCGGUGCUUCGGAAACCCGCCUGGCCAGGUUCGCCCGCAGUGAAAAAUGAAAGCAAAUUCCCCUACAGAGGUAGCCCGAACUUUCCUUGACGAAGGCUCUCUCUUGAGCCUGGAUCUCGAAGAAACCCCAGAGCGCUGCAAGUUAGCAACAGAGAUUCGAUGGCGGCUCCGGAGGGCGCGCGAAGGGUGGGGCGAGGGGGCAAAAAGGACACUGGGUGACCCAGCCUGGCCCAGGGCGAAACGCAAGAGAAGGCGCCUCGCCUUCCUUAUUUCAAUGCAACUCCUUGGCCCUAGACGGUAAAAAUAGUUUCCAAGCUGCCGCGGACGCCCAGGAUGUGUUUGCAGAGAUCAAACUGGGGAGGAAGCGGCUUUGUAAAAGUUGCAGAAAGAUUAGCCCAGAAGCGUCCGCCCGGCGGGGCUCAAGAAAGCUUGAGGACAGCUUCACGUUCCUUGGGGCGGAAUGGCCCAAGAAUUGGCCUGGGUAACCCCCUGCCCAGUUCUCUGUGCUCACUUCGAGCCAGCGCUUAAAUAACUUCCCGCCGCCUGCCCUGCAAACUUCCAGGCGCGGCGCCGGCGAGGCCAGGACACAGCAAAGGCUAGCAAAACCCCGCCGCGGCGCGCUCGGCCCCAGCCCUGAGAGGCUGCACGGGGUGGGAGAACCAGUGUGGUUUUCGCUCCCACUCGGCUGCCCAGACCCUCAAGACCGAUCCCCCCAACUCCUGGGAGCGGGUGCUUCCCUCUGGGAGUCGAGAUCUUGCGGGGCCGGCGAGGGCGCAAAGUGCGCUCGCUAGCCCGCGCGGGGGCGGCCGCGCGUCUCUCCGCGGGGCCUGUCGCCAGGCCGGCCGCGGCGGGUGAGUGAUGAGGGCAGAGAAGGGCGCCCAUAAAUCGCGGGUGUCAGGGCGAAAAACUCUCUUUAUUGUCUGCGUGAUGGAUGGGCCCGGGGACGAGACACCAAAUACUUCGUAUCGCCUUUAAAUGGGAACACAUUUUCCGCGGCCAUAAUUCAUGUUUUUUAAAUAGAAAGUUUGAAAUGUUGCCUAUAUUUCACCAGCCCUGACAUAUUUAUGAAUCGCUCCCUGCAUGCAAAUAUCAUUAUUUAAAGCGCCGGGGAGAGCGCGGGGGAGGGGAGGAGGCGCGGUUCCUGGGGCGUGGGGGUGGUGAACCGGGGAAAUGUCGGUGGAGGGGGGCCAUUUCCCUAAAGGGCAGAGGGUGAGGUGCGGGGAAUAGCCGUAUCCGGAAACCGAGCGUGCCCCGGGCUUCUCUCCCGCCGCCGGACCCCGCACGGCCGACCCGGGACGUUUUUCGAGGCUUGGGACCUAAGACAGGCCCCCGGCCCCUGCUGGGAGACCAGGGGGCGUUUUUCGUCCCUCUCUGAGGCCGUUAUCCAAGCCGAAACCACCUUUUCUAAGAAACAAGUUAAAAAAAAAAAGAAAACCAAAAAGAAUUUAACAAACACAAAUAAUAAUAACCCAACAUAUUUCGUGUUCUUUGCCA